AUGUUCAAAUACAAAAAGGAAGUAAGCCAGAAUAUUUAUCCAUUGCUCAGUGUCAAGAGAAAGCAUGUCCCAGUUAUAAUUGUUUCUACUGGCAAAUCAAUCACCUCCUGCCUCAUCAUGUUAAAUGUGUGUGAUAAGGAUGCGUGUGGCAUUGCAUCUUUGCAGGAUAAGAGCUUCACCUUUAUCUUGAAGACACCUCCUGCCUCAGUACUGCUCCUCAAGGCUGCAGUGAACUACAUGGUUCCUUAUCUCCAUUUUAUUAAUUCUGAUUCCCAGGCGUCGAAAAAGGCUCAAAGGAGCCACAGCGACCAAGUACGCACGAUCGCCCAGGAGAAGUUGCCUAACUUGAACUGCAAAACCAUCGAGUCCGCCAUGAGAAUCAUAGCGGGCACUGCCGCUAACAUGGGCAUCGAUGUUGACCCGCCGAUCCUCGUGAAGAAGGAGAAGGUGGUCGAAUUGAUAGAAAAGGUAAUAUGUAGUCACCUGGCUGCUAGAGCAUAUAGAAGAUAA
rnacentral:rRNA from 1 species